rnacentral:rRNA from 1 species
AUUGAACGCUGGCGGCAGGCCUAACACAUGCAAGUCGAACGGCAGCGGGGGAUAGCUUGCUAUCCUGCCGGCGAGUGGCGGACGGGUGAGUAAUGCAUGGGGAGCUGCCCAGUCGAGGGGGAUAACAACUGGGAACGGUUGCUAAUACCGCAUACGCCCUGAGGGGGAAAGGUGGGGAACUUCGGUCCUACCGCGAUUGGAUGCGCCCAUGUGGGAUUAGCUAGUUGGUGAGGUAACGGCUCACCAAGGCGACGAUCUCUAGCUGGUCUGAGAGGAUGACCAGCCACACUGGAACUGAGACACGGGCCAGACUCCUACGGGAGGCAGCAGUGGGGAAUAUUGCACAAUGGGGGAAACCCUGAUGCAGCCAUGCCGCGUGUGUGAAGAAGGCCUUCGGGUCGUAAAGCACUUUCAGUCAGGAGGAAGGGGUGAUGGCUAAUAUCCAUCAUCAUUGACGUUACUGACAGAAGAAGCACCGGCUAACUCCGUGCCAGCAGCCGCGGUAA